rnacentral:lncRNA from 1 species
UGAAAUGUUGUCUUUUGUGUUAUUAUUAUUUUUAGAUGUAUUUGUGUGAGACCCUCAAAAAUUAAAAAAAAUUAAUUUAUUGUUGAAGGAGAUAUUAUAGAAAAAAAUUAGGUAGAUUUUUAAAGUUGAUGGAUGUGAUAGUAAUGUGGCACUUUAAAAGUUAACAACUAGGCAAGCGUAUGGUUUGAGUGAUAACGCAUAAUUGAUAAAAUAAUUCACCUUAAUCAAGUUUUUGGUUUAUAUUAUUGAGCUCGUGACUGAUAACUCAACCUGCAUCUAAUUAUCUAAAUAAGUGAUUUUUAUCACUUCAAAGUUAGAUAGAUUGUUUAAUCA